rnacentral:rRNA from 1 species
GACGAACGCUGGCGGCGUGCCUAACACAUGCAAGUCGAGCGGAGAUACAAAGUAGUUUACUAUGAUGUAUCUUAGCGGCGGACGGGUGAGUAACGCGUGGGCAACCUGCCUUACAGAGGGGGAUAAGUGCGAAAGUACUGCUAAUACCGCAUGACAUUGCGAAAUCGCAUGGUAUUGCAAUCAAAGGAGAAAUCCGCUGUAAGAUGGGCCCGCGUUUGAUUAGCUAGUUGGAGAGGUAAAAGCUCACCAAGGGGACGAUCAGUAGCCGAACUGGGAGGAUGAACGGCCACACUGGAGCGGGGACACGGUCCAGACUCCUACGGGAGGCAUAAGUGGGGAAUAUUGCACAAGGGGGGAAACCCUGAUGCAGCAACGCCGCAUGGAGGAUGAAGGUCUUCGGAUUGUAAACUCCUUUGAUCGGGGAUGAAUAAUGACAGUACCCGAAAAACAAGCCACGGCUAACUACGUGCCAGCCGCCGCCGUAAGAC